GCCAGAGUAGCACAGUGGUAGUGCAACUGCAUGGUAAGCAGUAGGUCGGGAGUUCAAUUCUCCCCUCUGGCU
rnacentral:tRNA from 2 species